rnacentral:rRNA from 1 species
UCAGAUUGAACGCUGGCGGCAGGCUUAACACAUGCAAGUCGAGCGGAGAGAGGUAGCUUGCUACUGAUCUUAGCGGCGGACGGGUGAGUAAUACUUAGGAAUCUGCCUAUUAGUGGGGGACAACAUCUCGAAAGGGAUGCUAAUACCGCAUACGUCCUACGGGAGAAAGCAGGGGAUCUUUAUGACCUUGCGCUAAUAGAUGAGCCUAAGUCGGAUUAGCUAGUUGGUGGGGUAAAGGCCUACCAAGGCGACGAUCUGUAGCGGGUCUGAGAGGAUGAUCCGCCACACUGGGACUGAGACACGGCCCAGACUCCUACGGGAGGCAGCAGUGGGGAAUAUUGGACAAUGGGGGGAACCCUGAUCCAGCCAUGCCGCGUGUGUGAAGAAGGCCUUAUGGUUGUAAAGCACUUUAAGCGAGGAGGAGGCUUACCUGGUUAAUACCCAGGAUAAGUGGACGUUACUCGCAGAAUAAGCACCGGCUAACUCUGUGCCAGCAGCCGCGGUAAUACAGAGGGUGCAAGCGUUAAUCGGAUUUACUGGGCGUAAAGCGCGCGUAGGCGGCCAAUUAAGUCAAAUGUGAAAUCCCCGAGCUUAACUUGGGAAUUGCAUUCGAUACUGUUUGGCUAGAGUGUGGGAGAGGAUGGUAGAAUUCCAGGUGUAGCGGUGAAAUGCGUAGAGAUCUGGAGGAAUACCGAUGGCGAAGGCAGCCAUCUGGCCUAACACUGACGCUGAGGUGCGAAAGCAUGGGGAGCAAACAGGAUUAGAUACCCUGGUAGUCCAUGCCGUAAACGAUGUCUACUAGCCGUUGGGGCCUUUGAGGCUUUAGUGGCGCAGCUAACGCGAUAAGUAGACCGCCUGGGGAGUACGGUCGCAAGACUAAAACUCAAAUGAAUGACNGGGCCCGCACAAGCGGAGCAG